UUUCAAUAUUAGACCUUUUCAAAUUCAAACAACACAACACCACAGGGGAAGCAUUGGGCAUUGUUUUAACUUAGUCGAAACGAAACUAAUUGGCAAAUUGCAGUAAAGUCACGCAGUUGAAUAAAGCUUCGAGCCUUCGACAUUCGAAAAAGGCUUUAUAGUCUUGUAUGUCAACAAAUAUCGGUCCAAAUAUGUCUCGUUUACAGUUCCUACUGUUCGUUAUACUUUUGAAUGUUUUAUCAACGUCACAGGAACGAGUGUGUAGGUACAGGGAUUCUAGAGGAUAUUGUCGGAUGCAUUGUUGUGGUAAACCAGAUGCGUUGCUUUGCCUCGACAGCUGUGAUGGUAUACCGUGCUCCAAGUCAGACGACUGCGAUGAUGAUGGUUGCUGUAACAGUGGCAAAUGUACCAACAGUGGAUGCAAGACGCCGUGGUAUGUCAUUGCCACACCAGUUCUAGUGAUUGUCCUGGCAGUUUGCAUUUUUGUUGCGUGUCGAAUAUGGUGCGUGAAAAAUCGUCGAGUUUCACACGCAUGCGGUAUGAUAUAUAAUAUGUAUUCAGUACACCCGUCUUCAAAACUACGCAACAAGGCUGAGAGUAGCUAAAGUUAGCAUUAUCGGGAAUUGCUUUUUCCCAACACUAAAAUAUCACUCACAGAGUUUCGUUUUAUAUAGUUUUUUAUUCGCGGUUACGUAUCACUCCUCUCUCUCUCGCUUCUCUCGCACACUAUCACUCCUUUUUACACUCUCAUACUUAUCUUAUCAAUCAUCCGUAUUUUAUCUUGAUCUCAUUACUGCAUAUUUCUCAAUGCCCUGCUAUAUAUAAAUGUUCAACAAUUAAAAGUUCAAAUUCGAUUACUUAAUAUAUAAUGUCUAUCAACUAAUUAAUGAAAACCUAACAACUUUCCAACACCCUCCCCCUAUUUGCUACACGAAGUGUGCAAAUAUAAUUAAAUGUCUUAACAAAACGAGUUAUAAUAAUGUUAAAUGUAAAAAAAAACCUGUUCUUCAAGUUCAGACAAGUUACCAUAUUCAUGAUACAACAGUUUUUUCACUGAUCCUCUUCAUUUUCUGCGAUGUCUUGCAAUCGCAUCGUUGCAGCUGCAGCAGCAUCUCGCUUCGGUCUGAAUGCUUGAGCAUUUGGGUCAAGAUCUUGUGUGUUCUUCUUGGGCUUGCUCACGUCACACGAGAGUUCUAACGGGUAAAGAUGCUGCACGGCACGUUCGAGGUGACUUUUACCUGCUCGCAAUUUCGCUACACGAACAACUCCGUCACGUCCUGCAAUCAAAUCCUCCACAAUUCCUAAUUUCCACUUGUUUCGGUUGCGUUCAUCAGAUUUUAUGAUCACCACAUCACCUACUUUCAACGUAAAUUUCUUGUUGUUGUGUUUAAGAUUGUGCCUUUCUCGCAAUCCUCUCACGUACUCGUUCGUCCACCUUCUCCACAUCAUAUCUUUGCACUUUUCGAUUCGUUUCGCG